GGUUUGGUAGUUCAGUUGGUUAGAAUAUCUGCCUGUCACGCAGGGGGUCGCGGGUUCGAGUCCCGUCCAGACCG
rnacentral:tRNA from 1 species